rnacentral:rRNA from 1 species
UAGGGAAUCUUCCACAAUGGGCGCAAGCCUGAUGGAGCAACACCGCGUGAGUGAAGAAGGGUUUCGGCUCGUAAAGCUCUGUUGUUAAAGAAGAACACGUAUGAGAGUAACUGUUCAUACGUUGACGGUAUUUAACCAGAAAGUCACGGCUAACUACGUGCCAGCAGCCGCGGUAAUACGUAGGUGGCAAGCGUUAUCCGGAUUUAUUGGGCGUAAAGAGAGUGCAGGCGGUUUUCUAAGUCUGAUGUGAAAGCCUUCGGCUUAACCGGAGAAGUGCAUCGGAAACUGGAUAACUUGAGUGCAGAAGAGGGUAGUGGAACUCCAUGUGUAGCGGUGGAAUGCGUAGAUAUAUGGAAGAACACCAGUGGCGAAGGCGGCUACCUGGUCUGCAACUGACGCUGAGACUCGAAAGCAUGGGUAGCGAACAGGAUUAGAUACCCUGGUAGUCCAUGCCGUAACGGUGAGUGCUAGGUGUUGGAGGGUUUCCGCCCUUCAGUGCCGGAGCUAACGCAUUAAGCACUCCGCCUGGGGAGUACGACCGCAAGGUU